AGUGAACGCUGGCGGUAGGCUUAACACAUGCAAGUCGAACGGCAGCACAGUAAUCGCUUGCUCUUACGGGUGGCGAGUGGCGGAUGGGUGAGGAAUACACCGGCAUCUACUUUUUCGUGGGGGCUAACGACGGGGAACUUAAGCUAAUACCGCAUCCGACUUCCGGGUGAAAGCAGGGGAUCUUCGGACCUUGCGGGUUUGAACGAGCCGGUGGCGGAUUGUCUUGUUGGCGGGGUAAAGGCCCACCAUGGCGGGGAUCCGUAGCUGGUCUGAGAGGAUGAACAGCCACACUGGAGCUGAGACACGGUACAGGCUCCGACGGGAGGCAGCGGUUGGUAAUAUUGGACGAAGGGGGCAAGCCUGAUCCAGCGGUACCGCGUGGGUGAAGAAGGCCUUCGGGUGGUAUAACCCUUUUGUUGGGGAAGAAAAGCAGCAGGUUAAUACCCCGCUGGUGUGACGGUACCCAAAGAAGAAGCACCGGCUAACUACGUG
rnacentral:rRNA from 1 species